UACGGAGGGGGCGAGCGUUAUUCGGAAUUAUUGGGCGUAAAGGGCGCGUAGGCGGCUAGGUAAGUCAAAGGUGAAAUCCCUCGGCUCAACUGAGGAACUGCCUUUGAAACUGUCUAGCUCGAGGCCGGGAGGGGGUGGCGGAAUUCCCAGUGUAGCGGUGAAAUGCGUAGAUAUUGGGAGGAACACCAGUGGCGAAGGCGGUUCUCUGGGCCUUACCUGACGCUCAGGCACGAAAGCGUGGGGAGCAAACAGG
rnacentral:rRNA from 1 species